rnacentral:tRNA from 1 species
UCUGGUGUAGCUCAGUGGUAGAGCUCUUGCCUGGCACACACAGGACCCUGGAUUCCAUCCUCAGCACCAGGG